GACGAACGCUGGCGGCGUGCUUAACACAUGCAAGUCGAACGGUGAACCUCUUCGGAGGGGAUCAGUGGCGAACGGGUGAGUAACACGUUGACAACCUGCCCCCGGCUCUGGGAUAACUCCAAGAAAUUGGGGCUAAUACCGGAUGUUCACCGCUUCCCGCAUGGGAGGUGGUGGAAAGGGUUUCCGGCUGGGGAUGGUCCCGCGGCCUAUCAGCUUGAUGGUGGGGUAGUGGCCUACCAAGGCGGCGACGGGUAGCCGGCCUGCGAGGGGGACCGGCCACACUGGGCCUGAGACAGGGGCCAGACUGCUACGGGAGGCAGCAGUGGGGAAUAUUGCGCAAUGGGCGGAAGCCUGACGCAGCGACGCCGCGUGGGGGAUGACGGUCGUCGGGGUGUAAACCUCUUGCAGCAGGGACGAAGCGCAAGUGACGGUACCUGCAGAAGAAGCACCGGCUAACUACGUG
rnacentral:rRNA from 1 species